UCUCAAAUUUUGACAAAUCGAAAAAGGUCUCCAUUAGGCAGUCCAAAUUUCUGGUGUAGCUGUUCAAAAGACAUCAUAACCUCCCCAUCGAACAGAUCCCCUCAGCAAGAAGUAUCCCUGGACUUCCAGGUUUUAAAUGUAGCCUCUGUGUGCCCCGGUUGAAAAUCGUAUGCUCCCACUAUAGGAGUAUAAGGAGAGGUUUUUUGUGAAUUACCAUCGUCUUGCUGCAUUAUCUUCCAAGCUUUAAUUGUAUUUAAUACCAAUAGGG